AUGGCAACCCACCCCUGUAUUCUUGUGUGGAGAAUUCCAUGUUCAGAGGAGCCUGGCAGGCUAUAGUCCAUGGGGUCACAAAGAGUCAAACAAGACUGAGCUCAUAUGCAUAAUGCAAACAACAUUCCUUCCUGAAUCCAUCUUCGUGGUUAAGUCUUGGUGAAGAUACCCUCGUUGCUGCUGUGAUGUGGAGGGAAAAUCAAGGACAUGGGAUUGAGAGAUACAAUGUGGCUGACUUCAAACAGCAGCUCUACUGAGUACUUCAUUACCUGUUCUGUUGUGGUUCAACUAAGGAUUGGAAUAAUAGCUGAAACACAUAGACUAGGCCACCAGCAUCACGUCCAUACGCAAAAGUGACUGAACACGGUUAGCAAAAACCGAUCACCGCCAAGCAGGCUGAAGAUACAAGCGCCAUGCCUGAAGCUCCAGAAGAGAUGGCAAAGCCAGGGGAAAGUCAAGGGAAUCACAGAUAGGCUAUUAAUGCAUUAUCAAAGAGGGCUGGCAGUUGACAAGGUCUGUAUUGUGUGUGUGUGUGUGUGUGUGUGUGUGUGUGUGUGAUCUAUAAUCCCCAACUCAGUUACAUCUCUAUAAAUUAACUUGCUGGUACUUUCAGCCAAUUAUUUUCUCUG
ensembl:lncRNA